rnacentral:rRNA from 1 species
UACGAAGGGGGCUAGCGUUGUUCGGAAUUACUGGGCGUAAAGCGCGCGUAGGCGGCUUUUCAAGUCGAUUGUGAAAUCCCCGGGCUUAACCUGGGAACUGCAGUCGAGACUGUCUAGCUAGAGUAUGGGAGAGGGAAGUGGAAUUUCAGGUGUAGCGGUGAAAUGCGUAGAUAUCUGAAGAACAUCAGUGGCGAAAGCGACUUCCUGGACCAAUACUGACGCUCAUGUGCGAAACGUGGGGACAAACAGG